rnacentral:rRNA from 1 species
CCCAGACAGCCAGGAUGUUGGCUUAGAAGCAGCCAUCAUUUAAAGAAAGCGUAAUAGCUCACUGGUCGAGUCGGCCUGCGCGGAAGAUGUAACGGGGCUAAACCAUGCACCGAAGCUGCGGCAGCGACACUGAUGUGUUGUUGGGUAGGGGAGCGUUCUGUAAGCCGUUGAAGGUGGCCUGUGAGGGUUGCUGGAGGUAUCAGAAGUGCGAAUGCUGACAUAAGUAACGAUAAAGCGGGUGAAAAGCCCGCUCGCCGGAAGACCAAGGGUUCCUGUCCAACGUUAAUCGGGGCAGGGUGAGUCGACCCCUAAGGCGAGGCCGAAAGGCGUAGUCGAUGGGAAACAGGUUAAUAUUCCUGUACUUGGUGUUACUGCGAAGGGGGGACGGAGAAGGCUAUGUUGGCCGGGCGACGGUUGUCCCGGUUUAAGCGUGCAGGUGUGUGUUCCAGGUAAAUCCGGUUCACUUUAACACUGAGGCGUGACGACGAGGCACUACGGUGCUGAAGCAACAAAUGCCCUGCUUCCAGGAAAAGCCUCUAAGCCUCAGGUAACAUCAAAUCGUACCCCAAACCGACACAGGUGGUCAGGUAGAGAAUACCAAGGCGCUUGAGAGAACUCGGG